rnacentral:rRNA from 1 species
AACGAACGCUGGCGGCAUGCCUAACACAUGCAAGUCGAACGAGACCUUCGGGUCUAGUGGCGCACGGGUGCGUAACGCGUGGGAACCUGCCCUUAGGUUCGGAUUAACUCCCCGAAAGGGGUGCUAAUACCGGAUAAUGUCUUCGGACCAAAGAUUUAUCGCCUUUGGAUGGGCCCGCGUUGGAUUAGUUAGUUGGUAGUGUAAAAGCCUACCAAGGUGACGAUCCAUAGCUGGUCUGAGAGGAUGAUCAGCCACACUGGGACUGAGACACGGCCCAGACUCCUACGGGAGGCAGCAGUGGGGAAUAUUGGACAAUGGGCGAAAGCCUGAUCCAGCAAUGCCGCGUGAGUGAUGAAGGCCUUAGGGUUGUAAAGCUCUUUUACCCGGGAUGAUAAUGACAGUACCGGGAGAAUAAGCUCCGGCUAACUCCGUG